rnacentral:lncRNA from 1 species
CCCGCCACCCAACGCGAAGUGGCAUGUCUGGAAUGGGGUCUUGAUUUUUAAUUCCUUCGUCCCUGGCGAUGCUGGAGCGGCUCUAGUCCGUCAGAGGGGCUCUCUUGGUGGGAGGACCUUCAGCGCCAAACUCCCCAAAGUCCACAACAAAAACCUCUGUUCUAGAACCUUCUUCCAGCAGCCGUGGCUGCUUCAGAGUAGGAGCUGAGGGGCCGAGACCCUGUACUCAGGAGCAGAGGACAGCGUGGCUGGGGUUGAGCCCUGGGAGA